rnacentral:rRNA from 1 species
GCCUGUUUAUCAAAAACAUGGCUCCUUGUAAAAAAUAAAUAGGGAGUCGGACCUGCCCAGUGAAAAUUUUUAACGGCCGCGGUACCCUGACCGUGCAAAGGUAGCAUAAUCAUUUGCCUUAUAAUUGAAGGCUAGUAUGAAAGGUUUGACAAGAAUAUAGCUGUCUCUUUAUGAUUUGAUAGAAUUUUAUUUAUAGGUGAAGAAGCCUAUAUUAUAUUAAAAGACAAGAAGACCCUAUCGAGCUUUAAAAGAGUUAAUAGAUUUUUGCUUAAAUGACACUCAAAAAUCUGGCUAUUAAAAAUUUUGGUUGGGGCGACUAAGGAACAAAAAAAGCUUCUUUUAGAAGAAAGACAUUCAGGUAACGAUCCAGAAUUAUUCUGAUUAAAGAAAUUAGUUACCGUAGGGAUAACAGCAUAAUCUUUUUUGAGAGCUCUUAUUGAAAAAAAGGUUUGUGACCUCGAUGUUGGACCAGAAUAUCCUAAAGAUGCAGCAGUCUUUAAGGGUUGGUCUGUUCGACCAUUAAAAUUCUACGUGAUCUGAGUUCA